rnacentral:rRNA from 1 species
UACAGAGGUCCCAAGCGUUGUUCGGAUUCAUUGGGCGUAAAGGGUGCGUAGGCGGCGCGGUAAGUCGGGUGUGAAAUCUCGGAGCUUAACUCCGAAACUGCAUUCGAUACUGCCGUGCUUGAGGACUGGAGAGGAGACUGGAAUUUACGGUGUAGCGGUGAAAUGCGUAGAUAUCGUAAGGAAGACCAGUGGCGAAGGCGGGUCUCUGGACAGUUCCUGACGCUGAGGCACGAAGGUCAGGGGAGCAAACGGG